GGGACACAUUUGGCAGGCGCUGUCAGUCAAUUUCCAUUAAGUCAACACCUUAUUGAAUUUUAUUGUAAAUUGAAAAAAAACUGCAAACUGCAAAAUGGCAAACGAGCCACAAGAAAAUUUCACAUAAAGUGAGAUUUGAAAAGCAAAUUGAAUGAACAAACAACAAACGAGUGGGAGAAUUGCGAAAUAACAAGAGAAUUUGUAGCCCAAAUUGCAUAGCAAAUGCAAAAAUGUGUUGGAGUUGGUGGCCAUGAAACAUGACUGUUUAGUAGCAGGAUUUGGGAUUUGUCAAAGGACCGCCACAAUGCCGACAAAGCGCGCCGCAGUUGGCAGGGAGAGAAUAGAAGAUCUACUUCCAUAUGGUUUCCGGCAAAUAACAAGAAAUAACUACAACAAUUAUCAGGCAGGAAUAAUAAACGUAGUAUACAGCAUCUUUUAGUCAAUCCAGUUUAAUGGUUCUGUAAUACACUUUGAAAUGAAUAUUUCUUCAAUAAUAUAAAUUAAUU